GGAAGAAGCAGUUUUCACUGCUGCUUAAACAUGUUUACCCAAAUGCGGUCACCACCCAAAACAUCAAGGCUGGGUUCCGCAAAGCUGGAAUCUUUCCUCUGUGCAGAGAUGCUUGUGGAUACAACCCAGGUGGUGAGAAUGCUUCCAUCUGCAACUCCAACUGCAACUCCAUCCAUCGUUCCCACACCUCCUUUAACCACACCAUCCAGCAGUGGACCACACAUGAGUCCUGCCACACCAUCUAGCAUUUCCACCCCUCUUUCAGCCGCACAGUCCAGUACACAACCUAAUGAAACAGACACCACCACCACUCCCUCCAACACACAAACACCUUGCCCCACCUGUAACAGAGUGGCUCCCAAAAAUUACCUGGUGGUACCAGGUUUAAUCCCCGUGACUCUGGCUAAUGUCCUCCCGAGCCCAGCCCUGGAGCGGAAUGACAGGGUAAGGCGUCGCAUUCCGUUGCAAGCCCGCGUCCUCACCAGCGACUCAUACAUUGAACUGCUAAACAAAAAAAGCAGCAGAAAAAAAAGAGAAGGAAGAUAACAAGAGAAAGUGCAGGGAAGAGAUGGCAAAAAAGAGGGAAGAAAAGAGACAAGCCCAGGAGGCAAAAAAGGCAGGCCCCUGCUGUGACAGAGGAAGAUGGCGAGCACUGUGCCCUGUGCAAGAGAGUGGUCCCUCCUGACUCCAAUAAUGAAGCCAUUACAGAAUGGCUUCAGUGUGAUCUGUCUCACUUAUGGUUCCAAAUUCAGUGUGCGGAGGUGGAGAAAGUCCCAGAUGAAGACUGGUUUUGUCACAAAUGUUGUUCUUCUUAAUACACCUAAGUUACAAAUAUAAAUUAAUUGUUAUGUAAGUUAACCUUAAGUGUUCAUUUUUAUUAUGUUAUUUAAAAUUUACUGUUAUUAAGAUGUUAUUUAAAUAUGUUUAAUGUAAAUAGCUAUGUCACACACACAAACACGUUCGUUUAUAUAAUAAACAAACUAUAAACACAACGUUUUCAUUGCCAUCUUUUCAUGAAAAGUAAAAUUUACGAUUUCAUGCAUAAAGUUAAAUAACAGUUAAAUGUCACCUCAAGACAAGUAUGCAUUAAAAUAAAUAAACAACUCACCUGCAAUUAAUUAAAUAAGAAUUUUCGCAGCUGAAAGCAUGUGCUGCACUCUGUACAAAACAUUGUUGUGAACGUGUACGAAACAUCCUUUCGCCUCAUCAUCUUCCGUAAACGUGCGGAGGGAGAACAUUUUCUCACUUUUCUCAAACACUGUUGGUCUAAAACACAUCAAUCAAAGUAUGGCUCAUACAAUUGGCCUUCCCCCAGAGAAUGAGCACACAAACAUGCUUGUUGGAACAAGUUGCUUCGAAGAAUAGCCGAAGGCAUCCGGAAAACGGCGAAAAGGGUCCGGAAAAUGGUUAGUCUACGUUAUGCUGGUUUAGAAAUUGCUUACCGUAAAACUUCAAAUAAUAGCCUAGUCCCAAAUAGAAGCCUGUCUCUUUUAGACGCCUGGUGUGACGACAGGUUUGGGUAAAUAAACGCCUGUCUCAAAUAAAGGCCUGGUCUGUUUUUUAGUUUCGGGUUGUAUUUAAUCUUCUAAAACCCAUCAGAUCAUCUGUUUAAGCCAGUUCUAUGGUGCAGAUUGCGCUAAAGUUUUGAUUACCUGUAGAUGUCACGUGACGGACGCAGUCGUUCCUUUACUCAUCACUAUGACAACACAACAAGCUUCGUCGUCAGGAUUGAGGUGAUGAUGACAGUAGCAAAGUGGCAAUCGGGAGAGUCUGGACUUUUCCCGGUGGGCCGGUAGUGUUUUGGGGCCGCUGAUAAUAGCCGGGCUUUCAGUCUUUUGUCAUGCAUGCACUCCCGCCACACAUUGUAUUUCUCACAGCUAGUGGUGGCACUUCCGGCAUCUUGAGGCAGCUAGUGGUGGCACCUCCGGCAUCUUGAGGCAGCUAGUGGUUGCACCUCCAGCCUCUUGAGGCAGCUAGUGUUGAAACUUCCGGCAUCUGACACAUCUUGAGGCAGCUAGUGGUGGCACCGUGACUUUCUGAGGGAGCUGACAGUUUUUGUGUCAUUAAUUUAUACUUAUAUUUAUCGGAUAUUUAUACUAGAAGCCGAUUUUGUGUAUACUGAUACUUGAUCCGUGCGCUUGUUAUGCAGUUUACUGUUAAAUUGAGAUAUCCAGCUGCAGCCUCGCAGCUCCACCCACAUGAAUCAGGGCGCUCGUUUCAGAGACAUAACAGCAUGGGGGAGAACACGGUCAGUUGUUUAUACUAUUUCUGUACUUAUGUUGUGAAAUCAACAUAAAAUAAAUGAUAGAUAAGUGAAUAUCAGAUUACAUACCAAACAUGUACAGUUAAAUUAAAUAUUACUUUUUUUAUUUACUGCAGUUGUAAUUCAAAUAUUUAUUUCUUUAAGUGUGUUUAUCGUAGGCUACGUUAAUCUAGAGUACUAACUGUUUACUUUGUCAUGGAAUUUUCAUUUAAUCCCUCGUAGGAACAUGUUAAACUUCCUACAGGAAUGGAACUUCAACCGUGUACAAGCUGCAAUGAGGUGCUUCCAAUAAUAAGGGACAUGAAGAUGGCUUUAAAAUGGAUAAAUGCCAACAGGCAUUUGUUCAAGGGCCCCGUGAAGGAACCUUCAUUCCUAAAAAUGGAUGAGGAGCAGAAGAAAAUGGCCCUGAACGAAUUGAAAGAGCAGCUGGAAGGCUGUAGGGAGCCCUUUUCCUUUUGUUUUUCAUUUCAGGAAGACAUGGAGUCUUUUCUCUGUGAAGUUAGGGACAUAAUGGGACUACAAGUUAAUUGUUAUUUUUAGUUUUUAAAAUCUUAAUUUGUCUAUUAUUGUUUAUUUUGGUAUUAUACAUGUCGUUAAGUUUAAAAUUAAAUUGUAGUUCUGGUUUGUAGAAAAAGGGUUUAUCUGUGACACUGCUGUGAAGAGCCUUUUGUAGCCCAUUUAUUUUUAGGAGUGUAGCACAGUUUCUCCACAGUGUAGUAUGUAGUUUAAAUUCUAAAAAAUAAAAGAUAUUUGAAAUUUAAACAUUAUGCUCUGUGUCUCAGUAUUUAUUACAAAAUUAGCAUUAAGUAGAUUUGGUUUUCACGACCAGUUCCGGUAGACUUAGUAACAUAUGGCUAAAACAUUGCUAAUUUAUUUAAACAAUAUUUUAAAACCAAGUACCACUUUCUCGCUAAUCUGAC